UACGUAGGGUGCGAGCGUUGUCCGGAAUUAUUGGGCGUAAAGGGCUCGUAGGCGGUUUGUCGCGUCGGGAGUGAAAACCCAGGGCUUAACCCUGGGCUGGCUUCCAAUACGGGCAGACUAGAGGUAUGCAGGGGAGAACGGAAUUCCUGGUGUAGCGGUGAAAUGCGCAGAUAUCAGGAGGAACACCGGUGGCGAAGGCGGUUCUCUGGGCAUUACCUGACGCUGAGGAGCGAAAGUGUGGGGAGCGAACAGG
rnacentral:rRNA from 1 species